rnacentral:rRNA from 1 species
GCCUACGGGAGGCAGCAGUGGGGGAUAUUGCACAAUGGGGGGAACCCUGAUGCAGCGACGCCGCGUGGGCGAUGGAGCGCCUCGGCGCGUAAAGCCCUAUCAGCAGGGAAGAAGAUGACGGUACCUGACUAAGAAGCCCCGGCUAAAUACGUGCCAGCAGCCGCGGUAAUACGUAUGGGGCAAGCGUUAUCCGGAUUUACUGGGUGUAAAGGGAGCGUAGACGGCAUAGCAAGUCUGAUGUGAAAGAUCGGGGCUCAACCCCGGGCCUGCAUUGGAAACUUUUAAGCUGGAGUACAGGAGAGGUA